AAUAUAGAGAUGUUACAACCAUAACAAUUAUUACUGAAAACGGGAUAUUUACCAGUGUAUUAUACGUAAUGAGUUCCCGAUAUUUUUAAGUAAUAAUUGUUAUGUUCGGGAUGUGUGAACAUAAGUUUCGUCAGUAUACACAAUAUCUCUGCCUUCAGAUCUGUACUUCCUUAUUAUGUCAAUGUACUUUACUCUUUUAAGCCUAAAUCAUCUCUUUUAAGUCUAAAUAGUCUAAACAUCUUGAAUAAAAAAACCCAUUUGGCAAAGUAUUCAUCUUAGUGUGUAAAAUCACAUCCUUUGAAAUUCAUCGUUUCUAUUAUUUUCGACUUUUGUGCUUUUAUUGUAGGGUCUAGUUUAUAAAUGAGAUAAAAGUUAUAAACCAUGCGUCGUAUCACUGUAUAAUCAAAAUCAUCAAGAUCUACAUAGAAUUUCUUGCAUGGUCUACCCAGUUUAAUUUUGUUUGUGUUGGUAUUUUUAUUAUUUCUGUAUUCUUCUUCCUGGUUCAAAUUUUUGUUAUUGUUUGUCUAGAUAUACCCGUUGCGUUCGAAAUUCGCUGUUUAACUUUGCCAAAAUACUCUCCAGUUGUUGCUAUUUUUGAAUUUGCUAUUUUCCGAUAUGAAGUUCAGGUAAAUAUUAAAUAUAAUUCCUUGCUAUGCUAUACAACCUUUUUAUAAGUACAUAAUCUGAAAAUAUGAUUAAAACUAUAGCGAAUAUCUGAAUUGUGUAUUAUCCACUCUAUAUAUAUAGCAGCGGUCGGGGAACCGGGGUAAAUGAAAUUUUGAGGCGUAAAAAUGAAAAUUUUGUGAGUAAAAAGUAUAUAUUGAAGUGAAACUUGUAUAGAAUCGUUGUGAUUUCAAACUCGAUGAAACGAAAUGAAAAAAUAAGUCCAUAAAGACACAACACAUAAAUGUAUAGGAUUCAGCCGGCGACAGAAUGAGAUAGAGCACAUUUUUUGGAAACACAAAGUUCACGUGAUUGACUCAGAGUUAGAUGAAAGGUCUUUUGGAGGCAUUUGCGAUCAAGUGACAAUUGUAUUCAGGUAUUUUAUAGUAAGCUGCAAUAGAUAUAGAAUAAACGAAGCAUUAUUUUACAAAUACUGGAAGAACGAGAGGAUGCACUUAUUUAAAGAUUAAAAACACAUGAUUUAGAAAA